UAAAUUAACAGAAUAUAUAUAUAUAUAUAUGUAAUGAAAUUGUCGGUGAAUUAUUUAAUCUUUGGUAGACUGCCAAGCCAAGUUAAGAGCAAAGCAAAGAAGAUAGUGAAAAAAAUAUAUCAAUCAGGAAAAGGAAAAGAAGAAAUGAACGGUGAUGGUGAGAACGGUAUGAUGGAGGCCCAGUACAUAUGGAGACACCAUAGGCACGAAAUCAGAGACGAUCAGUGCACAUCUGCUCUUGUGAAACACGUCAAAGCUCCUGUUCAUCUCGUAUGGUCGUUGGUAAGGCGGUUUGAUCAGCCGCAGAAGUACAAGCCGUUUGUAAGCAGGUGCAUCAUGAACGGGGACCUCGGAAUUGGUAGUGUUAGAGAAGUCAACGUCAAAUCUGGUCUUCCCGCCACGACCAGCACCGAACGAUUGGAACUUCUUGAUGAUGAAGAACACAUUCUCGGCAUCAAAAUCGUCGGCGGCGAUCACCGUCUCAGGGUACAAAUAACAAAUUAUUCUUCAAUCAUAACGGUCCAUCCUGAGGUUAUCGAAGGAAGGCCAGGGACGAUGGUGAUCGAAUCAUUCGCUGUCGAUGUGCCAGAAGGGAACACCAAGGAUGAAACCUGUUACUUUGUGGAGGCUUUAAUCCGAUGUAAUCUGAAGUCGUUAGCCGAUGUUUCAGAGAGGAUGGCUGUGCUAGACCAGAUAGAGCCUAUCAACCGACGCUAACUGAGAAGUUGGAAUUUUGAUGACUAAAAUGACUAGCUUUUCUGGAGAGAGAUGUGAAAGUGCGGGUACGCUAUGGAAAAGCACCGAGGGGUCGCUUUUUUAGUCAUAAAGGUGCUCAGCACGCUAGAUAACUCAGAUCUUGUAACGAUUUUUAUCAAGCUAGACCUUCCACGCUAAGAAGUUUUCUUUGGAGCAACCAAUCACUCAUCUUUGCGACUUGUAGUGAACUUCCAGCAUGUCUCCAUCUCAGAGAACUCGUGAUUAGCUUUUUUCCUUUCUUGUUGAACUGCUGCGAGCAUUUGGUGGAAUGUUGACUACUUCUCCGCCAGUUGACUGGUGGAUGUAUGUCAAAUUCUCUUUGUUGGCAGGGGAUUGUGAGAGGAAUGGAAGUCGCAAAAAUGAGUGUUGAGCAUGCAAUAUCAAGUUAGUAAUAUAAUAUUUCAUUUCUUAUCCUGAAAGCCUGUAGGGGUGUAAUGCUUCUAGUUUUGACGAUGUAACAAUGAAAUGGUUCCACGAAAAUGCUUUUAAACUUCUACGGAUGAAAGUAACAAAGUGGGCUUAUAAAAUUUACAUUUCGUCAAUUUUGGAUUGUACUCUUUCCAAGCCUGCUUUGCGGCUCUUUGCUGAAGACUUGCAGUAUUGGAUUGUGCAAUGAUUCUCAUGCCAUUGUGAAAGAAAAAGAAUGGCCUUACCGUCUGGUUGAUAUAUUUCCUCUGCUUGAGCAGGACGAAGUGCAGGUUUCCAACUACCUUUUACCCUUCCGCAGGAUUUUGCAUGAUGGUUUCAAGUAGAUACUUAAAGCCCUUGAGGCCCCUUGUUACCAACAAUCAUUGCAGGAACACUUUCCUUCACUGAAAUGGUGAAACCGGCUACCAUCCCUUAGGAAAAUCUCUCGGUUUUUUACCAAAGAUAUGUAUUUAGCUGCAGUGUGGCAGUCGGGGCAAAUCCUCGUGUUCUUGAUUACCCUGAUAGGCAUAUCGCUUCUUGACUUGAUUAGUC